UGACCCAGGGGAAUGGCCGGCUUAGGAGGCCUCUGUCAGUCUUCAUUUCUGAUGCUCCUGACUCCUAGGUCUCGCUGCUUGGUAGAAAGCUUAUAGGAAGAAAUGUCUGGAAACAGCUGAUUGGCUCAGGAUGAUCACAUUGUUUUGUGUAGUCCACACUGGGAUCAGUGCCACUGUCCAGGGCUGACAGUGGCCUGUGGCUGCUCUGGGAAAGCUUUUCUUCAGGUUAAAGAAGAGAACUUGAGGGAACUGAACUCCUCAGAACCCAGAUCCACACCCUCCCCAAGCCCACACUGCUGCAUCCAUCCUUCAUCCUCUUUGUUGAGCAUCUCCAUGAUGCGGUUUGUAACAACUUGUCCCCUGUGGUUUGCCAUCGCCCUGGGAAUGGCUCACAUCGAUACCUGCUCAUGAUGGAAACGAAGAGUUUACUGAUAACAUUUUCCCACGAUCAUAACAUUUUAUAUGAGUUCUUCUGCAUGUGUUAGUUUUCAAACCCAAUUUCCUAGGCAAAAAUGUAACUUCUACCUCAAAACAACUCAACGAAGCAGGUAAAACAGGGCUGCUUUUUUUCUCCUGGAAAGGCAAACAAAGGGAGAGUGACUUGCCCAAAGUCUUCAGCUUCUAAGUGUCAAUGCUUGGACUUUCUCCAUCAGGAUCAAACAUCAUCACACUCUAUUCCCAAUGUCUUGUGACUUCCCGUAACUUCCCAGAACUGAGGAAUCCAUCCUUGUGAGAAACGAGGAAGCCCCUCAUAGGGAAGAUAAAGUGAAUCUGGCUUCCUCAAGACUCUCUAUGACAAGCAGCACAAACUUCACCCAUAGGUGCAGCAGAGCAGCAGAGGAGUUGACACGGUGGUGACCGCUUAGCUGUGGAUAACAACGGUCUCCUCACUGCAGACAGACUGCUGCUUUCACAUGAACGUGGUGAGGGCUUGGACUUCUGGUGUUAACAUCUAACGCCUCAGCUACAGUGCACUGCCUCAUAGUUUACCUUUAAGGCAAAUCUAUUUGAUGAGGAGUGAAAACUGAAAGCCAAGAUUAUUAUUUUAGAAUAGGUGCAAUACAAGAAAUGUUCUUCUGUUUCUUCCAUAAAGAAUUUAAUUUAUAUGUGUGGCAUACGUGUGCACGCACGUGUCUCUGUGUGUAUCGAGGCCAGAGAGGUUUGCAGUGGGUGUCUUCCUUUCUCACCUCCACCUUGGGUUUUUUAUGGUUUGUUUUGUUUUGUUUUGCUUUGUUUUGAGACAGUGUCUCUGUGUAGCUC